rnacentral:rRNA from 1 species
AGCGUACACGGUGGAUGCCCUGGCAGUCAGAGGCGAUGAAGGACGUGCUAAUCUGCGAAAAGCGCCGGCGAGGUGAUAUGAACCUUUGACCCGGCGAUGUCCGAAUGGGGAAACCCAGUGUGUUCCGACACACUAUCGUUAACUGAAUACAUAGGUUAACGAGGCGAACCGGGGGAACUGAAACAUCUAAGUACCCCGAGGAAAAGAAAUCAACCGAGAUUCCCCCAGUAGCGGCGAGCGAACGGGGAGCAGCCCAGAGUCUGAAUCAGCUUGUGUGUUAGUGGAAGCGUCUGGAAAGUCGCACGGUACAGGGUGACAGUCCCGUACACGAAAGCACACAGGUUGUGAACUCGAAGAGUAGGGCGGGACACGUGGUAUCCUGUCUGAAUAUGGGGGGACCAUCCUCCAAGGCUAAAUACUCCUGACUGACCGAUAGUGAACCAGUACCGUGAGGGAAAGGCGAAAAGAACCCCGGCGAGGGGAGUGAAAAAGAACCUGAAACCGUGUACGUACAAGCAGUGGGAGCCUCUUUUAUGGGGUGACUGCGUACCUUUUGUAUAAUGGGUCAGCGACUUAUAUUCUGUAGCAAGGUUAACCGUAUAGGGGAGCCGAAGGGAAACCGAGUCUUAACUGGGCGUUAAGUUGCAGGGUAUAGACCCGAAACCCGGUGAUCUAGCCAUGGGCAGGUUGAAGGUUGGGUAACACUAACUGGAGGACCGAACCGACUAAUGUUGAAAAAUUAGCGGAUGACUUGUGGCUGGGGGUGAAAGGCCAAUCAAACCGGGAGAUAGCUGGUUCUCCCCGAAAGCUAUUUAGGUAGCGCCUCGUGAACUCAUCUUCGGGGGUAGAGCACUGUUUCGGCUAGGGGGCCAUCCCGGCUUACCAACCCGAUGCAAACUACGAAUACCGAAGAAUGUUAUCACGGGAGACACACGGCGGGUGCUAACGUCCGUCGUGAAGAGGGAAACAACCCAGACCGCCAGCUAAGGUCCCAAAGUCAUGGUUAAGUGGGAAACGAUGUGGGAAGGCACAGACAGCCAGGAUGUUGGCUUAGAAGCAGCCAUCAUUUAAAGAAAGCGUAAUAGCUCACUGGUCGAGUCGGCCUGCGCGGAAGAUGUAACGGGGCUAAACCAUGCACCGAAGCUGCGGCAGCGACACUAUGUGUUGUUGGGUAGGGGAGCGUUCUGUAAGCCGUUGAAGGUGUCCUGUGAGGGGUGCUGGAGGUAUCAGAAGUGCGAAUGCUGACAUAAGUAACGAUAAAGCGGGUGAAAAGCCCGCUCGCCGGAAGACCAAGGGUUCCUGUCCAACGUUAAUCGGGGCAGGGUGAGUCGACCCCUAAGGCGAGGCCGAAAGGCGUAGUCGAUGGGAAACAGGUUAAUAUUCCUGUACUUGGUGUUACUGCGAAGGGGGGACGGAGAAGGCUAUGUUAGCCGGGCGACGGUUGUCCCGGUUUAAGCAUGUAGGCGGAGGUUCCAGGUAAAUCCGGUUCCUUGUUAACGCUGAGGUGUGAUGACGAGGCACUACGGUGCUGAAGUAACAAAUGCCCUGCUUCCAGGAAAAGCCUCUAAGCAUCAGGUAACAUCAAAUCGUACCCCAAACCGACACAGGUGGUCAGGUAGAGAAUACCAAGGCGCUUGAGAGAACUCGGGUGAAGGAACUAGGCAAAAUGGUGCCGUAACUUCGGGAGAAGGCACGCUGAUAUGUAGGUGAAGCCCCUGCGGGUGGAGCUGAAAUCAGUCGAAGAUACCAGCUGGCUGCAACUGUUUAUUAAAAACACAGCACUGUGCAAACACGAAAGUGGACGUAUACGGUGUGACGCCUGCCCGGUGCCGGAAGGUUAAUUGAUGGGGUUAGCGGUAACGCGAAGCUCUUGAUCGAAGCCCCGGUAAACGGCGGCCGUAACUAUAACGGUCCUAAGGUAGCGAAAUUCCUUGUCGGGUAAGUUCCGACCUGCACGAAUGGCGUAAUGAUGGCCAGGCUGUCUCCACCCGAGACUCAGUGAAAUUGAACUCGCUGUGAAGAUGCAGUGUACCCGCGGCAAGACGGAAAGACCCCGUGAACCUUUACUAUAGCUUGACACUGAACACUGGUCCUUGAUGUGUAGGAUAGGUGGGAGGCUUUGAAGCGUGGACGCCAGUCUGCGUGGAGCCAACCUUGAAAUACCACCCUUUAAUGGCUGGUGUUCUAACGUAGACCCGUAAUCCGGGUUGCGGACAGUGUCUGGUGGGUAGUUUGACUGGGGCGGUCUCCUCCCAAAGAGUAACGGAGGAGCACGAAGGUUAGCUAAUCCUGGUCGGACAUCAGGAGGUUAGUGCAAUGGCAUAAGCUAGCUUGACUGCGAGAGUGACGGCUCGAGCAGGUGCGAAAGCAGGUCAUAGUGAUCCGGUGGUUCUGAAUGGAAGGGCCAUCGCUCAACGGAUAAAAGGUACUCCGGGGAUAACAGGCUGAUACCGCCCAAGAGUUCAUAUCGACGGCGGUGUUUGGCACCUCGAUGUCGGCUCAUCACAUCCUGGGGCUGAAGUAGGUCCCAAGGGUAUGGCUGUUCGCCAUUUAAAGUGGUACGCGAGCUGGGUUUAGAACGUCGUGAGACAGUUCGGUCCCUAUCUGCCGUGGGCGCUGGAGAAUUGAGGGGGGCUGCUCCUAGUACGAGAGGACCGGAGUGGACGCAUCACUGGUGUUCGGGUUGUCAUGCCAAUGGCACUGCCCGGUAGCUAAAUGCGGAAGAGAUAAGUGCUGAAAGCAUCUAAGCACGAAACUUGCCCCGAGAUGAGUUCU